AGACCCGAAACCCGGUGAUCUAGCCAUGGGCAGGUUGAAGGUUGGGUAACACUAACUGGAGGACCGAACCGACUAAUGUUGAAAAAUUAGCGGAUGACCUGUGGCUGGGGGUGAAAGGCCAAUCAAACCGGGAGAUAGCUGGUUCUCCCCGAAAGCUAUUUAGGUAGCGCCUCGUGAAUUCAUCUCCGGGGGUAGAGCACUGUUUCGGCUAGGGGGCCAUCCCGGCUUACCAACCCGAUGCAAACUGCGAAUACCGGAGAAUGUUAUCACGGGAGACACACGGCGGGUGCUAACGUCCGUCGUGAAGAGGGAAACAACCCAGACCGCCAGCUAAGGUCCCAAAGUCAUGGUUAAGUGGGAAACGAUGUGGGAAGGCCCAGACAGCCAGGAUGUUGGCUUAGAAGCAGCCAUCAUUUAAAGAAAGCGUAAUAGCUCACUGGUCGAGUCGGCCUGCGCGGAAGAUGUAACGGGGCUAAACCAUGCACCGAAGCUGCGGCAGCGAACGUAUCACUUAAAGCGAUUCAGCGGGUUACGAUUGACGGAGCGAAGCGACGUCAAAGCGUAUACAAAGUCGAGUCGGUUUAAGGAUACGUUCGUUGGGUAGGGGAGCGUUCUGUAAGCCUGUGAAGGUGUGUCGUGAGGCAUGCUGGAGGUAUCAGAAGUGCGAAUGCUGACAUAAGUAACGAUAAAGCGGGUGAAAAGCCCGCUCGCCGGAAGACCAAGGGUUCCUG
rnacentral:rRNA from 1 species